CUGAUAGCCCCACCCUUACCAUGCCUACUGUGAAUAGCAUAGUAAGUGUCAGCCAAUAGAGUAGGAACUGGAUUUCCUCCAAUGAAAAUACUGACUGCAGCAUAGUCAACAAAAUUCGGCAUACUCGGAAACAAGACGAUCCCAUAGAUCAUGACGGCCAACUGAGCAUGAAAGGCUUCCCAACUUCCCUUCUCUGCUUCUUCUCUAGCUACCCUCAACAGAAAUUUCAAAGGCAAUCCUACAACAUCCCCACUGGACUUCCAACU
rnacentral:lncRNA from 1 species